GUGUAAUAUCAUUUUAAUCAAAAAUGUGUGGUUAAAAAGAGAAAAAUAAAAUACAUUUUCAUAAAAAUGAGAAUGAAACAGGGUCUAAAGAUAAGCAUCAGGCAAGAAAGAAGCUGUCAAGUUGCAAUGGCACAGAACGCGGCAAAACGAAAACAAUUGGCCCUUGAAACUACGAACACCUUUGUCGUCUUCCCCACGUCACCUUCUGCUACAACUCUAAAUCGUCAAAACCGUGUGCUCUCUGUCCCAUCGAUUUCUUCUGAUACCAUCAAUCCUUUCAUCUACUUAUACAAACCCCUCACAAAUCUAUAUUUAGCAUUUUCAGCUCGAAUUUUUUUUCACAACAAAUUAUACAAAAUCAAAUCAAGAAUCGCCAAAAAUGUGUAGAGGAUUUCAACUGAACGAAAAAGAUCGCUUGAGACUCAAAGCAUUUUAUAUUCAUUUAUCAGUUUCAUGUACCCGAAAGAUUUUACCUGAUAUUUUGACGCUGCAUUAUCUUCCUCGGAUUAACGGAAGCCCUUUGGAGAUAAACGGGUCAGGUAUUAAACCCGAUUCGCCAGGUUUUGUCACGCUCCACAGGGUAUUAUUGGAGGAGAGCAAGGGGGUUGUUUAUGGAAGUAGAGAGAGCGUAAAGGCGUGUGAAGGAUUGAGAUUUGAGAUAUUUGUUGGGGAUGUAAAGGUGUUGAAAGGGACUUUUGGGAAAGACGAGGGAGAAAAUUGGAAAAUGGAGUGCAAAUGUUGUUUAAUGGAGAAUGAUGAUAUCAAGGUGAAGGAUGCUGAGAUAUGUGUCUCUGUGGAAGGUCAAGCAGCGGUGAUGAGAGAGAAGGUGGAGAUGGCAGUCGCACGGCGGCGGAGUCGCUCGACGUGUUGUCAAUUGGAGGAAAUUCCGGAGGAGAGAGAGGGAGAUUUUGAGCUUGAAUCAGACGGCUGCUGUGGUUGUUCUGAUUGUAAUGGCGACGGCAGCAAUAGCGGUGGCGAGAUGGAGGUGGAGAUGGAGGCGGACCAGGCGGUGGGAUGGGCCCUGGAUGUGGGGAUUUGGGCGAUGUGUCUUGGCGUUGGAUACUUCGUUUCAAGGGCUUCUUCAAAGAGAUUGCGUAGGAAGAGACCGAUAUAACAGGAUUUAGCCCCUUGUGGCCCUAUUUUUUUUGUAAUGAAAAUCGGUGGAGUAAUAUUUCUUUGAAAAAAUGGGUGAUUGAAAAAUGAGGAAAUUUUUUUAAAAAUAAGAGAGAAAAAUAAAAUGUACUAGAAUAUAAUUUAAUGGAGCCAAACGGGGCCUAGAUUACACUUAUAUAUGCAUUUUUCUUUUUCGUUUUUUUUUCUAAUUUCCAUUUUUAGUGUUCAAUCGUAUUUUUGUAUUUAUAGUAUUUACAAGAGAAUCUUCAAAUGUAAGAUUUUCCUUUUAUUGGAGAAACUUAAAUGCCUACAACUCAUUAUUAGGCAUUAAUAAGUAAGCACGUAGUGCAUGUUAUAUUAAAUGAGUCGAGUUAAGGUUUUAAUUUAUAUUUCUAUUAUAUUACUUUAUCAAAUCUUUAGUUAUUGCUUAAUGUUUGAGUAAUGUUAUUCGCAGUUACUCAUUAUAAUAGUCGUUCUAAAUAGCAUGCACAUGACAAAUAAUUAUUUAAUGUAUGAAUAUGAUGAUCGCUGUAGCGAGCAAUUCUUUAUUUUUACUAGAUAUCAAACUAAAGAGGGGUUAAUAGCACAAAACGUUCUUACGUUUAACAUUUAUUGCGGAAAACGUCCCUACGUUUCUUUUUUUUGCAUUUUCGUCUUUAUUUCAACGUUUCAUUACUAAAAACGUCGUUUUCAUCAUUUUUGAAUAUAAAAUAACCAAAAUACCCUCCUAUUUAAAUAAAACCAAAAUAAUAAUAAUAAUAAAGAAUAAAUUACAAUCUUACUCCUAAAGGUUUUAAAAAGUGCAAUUGAGUUCAAAUAAUUAUUAAAAAGCUUAAUCGCACAAAACGUCCCUAGGUUUGGUCUAUAGUGUGCAAAACAUUCCUACGUUUCAAAACGAUGAAAAUGACGUUUUUCGCAAUGAAAUGUAAAUCUAGUGAUGAAAAUGCAAAAAAAAUAAAAAUAAAAAUAAAAAAUAAAUUGAAACGUAUGGACCUUCUCGACAAGAAGUAUCAAAGGUAGGGACGUUUUUCGCAAGAAGUGUCAAACGUAGGGAUGUUUUGUGCCAUUAUACCUUAUUGAAAUUGAAACAAUUGCCAUAUGAAUGAACCUCCAUACCAUUUCCAAAAUACCAUCACCCAAACUCCGAUAGCCCCGCCUAUUUCGACGAGAUCUAUGUCAUUUUCAACACAACAAUCGACUAUACUCACCAGAUCGCUUCUAUUCAAGGUCUUUUCUUCUCCAAAUGGGACUGCCACCUUAGAUUAAAAAACUCCAACCAACCAUCGCCCAAACCGCCGAACCUCCAUACUAUCGAACCAUCUGUUAAUGUUUUAAGACCAUGAAAAGAAGCGCCCUGGUGAGUAUAGUCGAUUGAUGUAUUGGAAAUGACAUAGAUCUCUCCGGAGUAGGUGGUGUCGUCGGAGUUUGGGUGAUGGUAUUUUGGAAAUGAUAUAGAAGUUCAUCGAUUUGGCAAUGGUUUCAAUUACAAAUAAGGCCUUAUAGCACAAAACCUCCCUACGUUUGACACUUCUUGUAAAAAAAACGUCCCUACGUUUGACACUUCUUGCGGAAAACAUCCAUACGUUUCAAUUUUUCUUGCAUUUUCAUCCCCAUUUUCACGUUUUAUUGCAGAAAACGUCAUUUUCAUUAUUUUGAAACGUAGGGAUGUUUUGCAUAUUAUAGGCCAAACGUAGGGACGUUUUGUGCUAUUAGACAUUUUCAUAAUUAUUUGAACUCACUUGCACUUUUUAAAACAUUUAGGAGUAAGAUUGCAAUUUAUUCUUUAUUUUUCUUCUCUUUUUUUGUUUUAUUUAAAUAGGAGAGUAUUUUGAUCAUUUUAUAUUCAAAAAUGGUGAAAAUGACGUUUUUAGCAAUAAAACGUUGAAAUAAGGACGAAAAUGCAAAAAAAAAAAAAACAUAGGGACGUUUUCCGCAAUAAAUGUCAAACGCAGGGACGUUUUGUGUUAUUAACCCAACUAAAGAGCUAACAUGCUAACUAUUAGGGUAAAAAAAUCAUAUGUACCUAUAAUAAUUCAUUUUAUACUAUUAAAUUAAAUUCAAAUAAUAACACAGAACACUUCAAAAUCCCAUUACAAUCUCAAAAGUAUUGCAUAAUAAACUUUCCUUUUUGUAUAUGUAAAUGAAACUUUAGAUUAUACUUUUUAUAUAUGCCCUUUUUUUUUAUCUAACCAUUUUUACCGUUCAAUUUUUUUUAAAAAUAUUUUAGUAUCUAUAGUUUCAAAUGUACGAUCUUUAUACUGGGGAUACUUAUAGAUGAGACAAUUGAUUUUCAAUACCUAUAAUUCAUUUUUAGGCAUUUAUAAGUAAGCACGGAG
rnacentral:lncRNA from 1 species